CCUUGAUGUGAUGAUAAUUGUUCACGGAAUAUAUCUGUGUCGACACAAAAUUCAGACUACAAUUAUCUGAUCAAUG